UGGGGAAUAUUGGACAAUGGGCGCAAGCCUGAUCCAGCAAUGCCGCGUGUGUGAAGAAGGCCUUCGGGUUGUAAAGCACUUUUAUCAGGAGCGAAACGCUGUCGGCUAAUACCCGGCGGAACUGACGGUACCUGAGGAAUAAGCACCGGCUAACUUCGUGCCAGCAGCCGCGGUAAUACGAAGGGUGCAAGCGUUAAUCGGAAUUACUGGGCGUAAAGCGUGCGUAGGCGGUUUCUUAAGUCUGCUGUGAAAUCCCCGGGCUCAACCUGGGAAUGGCAGUGGAUACUGGGAGGCUAGAGUGUGUCAGAGGGUGGUGGAAUUCCCGGUGUAGCGGUGAAAUGCGUAGAGAUCGGGAGGAACAUCAGUGGCGAAGGCGGCCACCUGGGACAACACUGACGCUGAGGCACGAAAGCGUGGGGAGCAAACAGG
rnacentral:rRNA from 1 species